UACAGAGGUCCCGAGCGUUGUUCGGAUUCAUUGGGCGUAAAGGGUGCGUAGGUGGCGCUGUAAGUGGGGUGUGAAAUCCCGGGGCUUAACUCCGGAACUGCAUUCCAUACUGCGGUGCUUGAGGACUGGAGAGGAGACUGGAAUUUACGGUGUAGCAGUGAAAUGCGUAGAUAUCUGGAGGAACACCGGUGGCGAAGGCGGCGUUCUGGACUGUUACUGACACUGAGGAACGAAAGCCAGGGGAGCAAACGGG
rnacentral:rRNA from 1 species